rnacentral:rRNA from 1 species
UCUUUAUCACCGAGUGCUUGCACUCACCGAUAAAGAGUUGAGUGGCGAACGGGUGAGUAACACGUGGGCAACCUGCCCAAAAGAGGGGGAUAACACUUGGAAACAGGUGCUAAUACCGCAUAACCAUAGUUACCGCAUGGUAACUAUGUAAAAGGUGGCUAUACUACCGCUUUUGGAUGGGCCCGCGGCGCAUUAGCUAGUUGGUAGGGUAAAGGCUUACCAAGGCAAUGAUGCGUAGCCGAAUUGAGAGGUUGAUCGGCCACAUUGGGACUGAGACACGGCCCAAACUCCUACGGGAGGCAGCAGUAGGGAAUCUUCCACAAUGGGCGAAAGCCUGAUGGAGCAACGCCGCGUGGGUGAAGAAGGUCUUCGGAUCGUAAAACCCUGUUGUUAGAGAAGAAAGUGCGUGAGAGUAACUGUUCACGUUUCGACGGUAUCUAACCAGAAAGCCACGGCUAACUACGUGCCAGCAGCCGCGGUAAUACGUAGGUGGCAAGCGUUAUCCGGAUUUAUUGGGCGUAAAGGGAACGCAGGCGGUCUUUUAAGUCUGAUGUGAAAGCCUUCGGCUUAACCGGAGUAGUGCAUUGGAAACUGGGAGACUUGAGUGCAGAAGAGGAGAGUGGAACUCCAUGUGUAGCGGUGAAAUGCGUAGAUAUAUGGAAGAACACCAGUGGCGAAAGCGGCUCUCUGGUCUGUAACUGACGCUGAGGUUCGAAAGCGUGGGUAGCAAACAGGAUUAGAUACCCUGGUAGUCCACGCCGUAAACG